GACGAACGCUGGCGGCGUGCUUAACACAUGCAAGUCGAACGGAAAGGCCCUGCUUUUGUGGGGUGCUAGAGUGGCGAACGGGUGAGUAACACGUGAGUAACCUGCCCUUGACUUUGGGAUAACUUCAGGAAACUGGGGAUAAUACCGGAUAGGAGCUCCUGCUGCAUGGUGGGGGUUGGAAAGUUUCGGCGGUUGGGGAUGGACUCCCGGCUUAUCAGCUUGUUGGUGGGGUAGUGGCUUACCACGGCUUUGACGGGUAGCCGGACUGAGAGGGUGACCGGCCACAUUGGGACUGAGAUACGGCCCAGAGUCCUACGGGAGGCAGCAGUGGGGAAUAUUGCACGAUGGGCGGAAGCCUGAUGCAGCAACGCCGCGUGCGGGAUGACGGCCUUCGGGUUGUAAACCGCUUUCGCCUGUGACGAAGCGUGAGUGACGGUAAUGGGUAAAGAAGCACCGGCUAACUACGUG
rnacentral:rRNA from 1 species